GCAUUAAGAAUACAAUAAAAUCAAGAGAAAUGUCAAGAAGAAAAUAAUGAUGGAUCAAGAAUCAUAAAAUUAAAAAAAAAUGUGGAAUGCCUUGAAGACUAUAUUGAAGCCCAACAUGAAUUUGACCAUUCAAUUUUAUAAACUAAAUGACUUUUCAUGUAGAGUGACUUGUUUAGUUUUCAUAUAGCUUGAACAGUUGUGAUAAUAACUCCACUUCCGAGCUAUAUCCCACAGUGUUUAAACUGGCAGCAAAAUCUAGCUCCUCUAUGGUAGGUUUUAAAAUCCUUAUAUUCAUAAUUCAAACAUUUCAUUUGACUACCGCAUAUACAUCAUUCCCUGCACGCUUAAAAUGACAAAAAGGCUAGCCA
rnacentral:misc_RNA from 1 species